CGCAGGAUAUUCGGAUCGUCUAUGAAUUUAACCAAAGUAAAU
rnacentral:sRNA from 1 species